UGGGAACAAAAAUGCACAAGUCCUUGGUCAAAACACCACUCCUCGACAUGAGGGAGGUUCUGACUCGAGUCGAUGGAAUCAUCAGACUAGAGGAGGAGGAGCUUGCUCUGUCAAGGUGCACCGCUGCAACCAUUUAAACACCAAAACACUCGUGUGAGAUGAUCCAAGGGCCAUGGACAAAUUUCCCAAAUGGAAGUCUCCACAGUCAAGUUAGGACCAAUUCUCCCCCAACCAAACUUACUAUCAGUCUGGCUAAACUUUUCCACGAAAACAUGAGCAAAGGAAUUUUUUGAACAACUCCGACAUUACGUGAACCCCCAGAGAAACGAGACCGAAGCAAAACUUGUGCACACCAUAAUGACUUUGACCACAAUACCAACGACUGUCGGAAUCUCAAAUACUAAGUUGAAGUGAUGCUAAAAAAAAGGGAUGCUUUCGCAAUAUCGGGCCUAACCAGAAGAUAAGCUGAAGGGGAGCGCACGGCUGAACCAGUAACCAACAACAUCUUUGUUGAAGAGGGAUUGUUGGAAAUCAAUGCUAUCCAUGGCUGGUCUCAACCGCCAGAGGGUCAGUUGGCUCGAGCCCGAACCGAGAAAAUACAUGCUGAAAAGAUAAGAUGUGUGUUGUGGAAUUGCUUCAGCACCAGAAUCGGCCCAAUCAUUGGAAAAGGUAGGGAUCAUCUCAUUCACCCAAUGAGACCCCGAAGGAAUCCAAUUUCCCCACAACGACGCACUGGUCAUAACUCUUCAAAUUGGAAACUCGAAAGUCAAGAGGGUUAGGAUCGACGGCGGAAGCAGCGCAGAGGUAAUGUUUUGGAACACUUUUAAAAUAAUGAAAUUGGAUGAAAACGGGAUCAGGCCCAAUCCUACACCGUUCUUUGCAUUUGAGGGCAGCAAGGCAUGAGCAAUAGAAGACGUGACAUUACCCG
rnacentral:lncRNA from 1 species